rnacentral:rRNA from 1 species
AGAGUUUGAUCCUGGCUCAGAACGAACGCUGGCGGCAUGGCUAAGACAUGCAAGUCGAACGGACUAUAUGAUUGAGUAAUCUUGAUUAUAGUUAGUGGCGAAAGGGCGAGGAAUAAAUAGGUAACGUACCCCGAACUCCAGGAUAGCGUCUAGAUACUUCGGUAUCUUUCCGAAGGGGGCAGUAAUACUGGAUGAUAUCAUCUGUUUAAUGCAGAUGAUCAAAGAUUUAUCGGUUUGGGCGCGGCCUAUUUCCCAUCAGCUUGUUGGUAAGGUAACGGCUUACCAAGGCAACGACGGGUAUCGGGACUGAGAGGUUGACCCGACGCAUCGGAACUGAGACACUGUCCGGACCUCCACGGAGGGCUGCAGUAACGAAUAUUGCACAAUGGGCGCAAGCCUGAUGCAGCAAUGCCGCGUGUAGGAUGAAGCUCCUCGGAGUGUAAACUACUGUCAGGGGGUAGAAAGUGCGCUCGGCGUAUGAUAGCCCAGAGGAAGUCACG